ACAAUGAAGAGUUUGAUCCUGGCUCAGGAUGAACGCUAGCUACAGGCUUAACACAUGCAAGUCGAGGGGCAUCAGGAAGAAAGCUUGCUUUCUUUGCUGGCGACCGGCGCACGGGUGAGUAACACGUAUCCAACCUGCCCUUUACUCGGGGAUAGCCUUUCGAAAGAAAGAUUAAUACCCGAUAGCAUAAUGAUUCCGCAUGGUUUCAUUAUUAAAGGAUUCCGGUAAAGGAUGGGGAUGCGUUCCAUUAGGUUGUUGGUGAGGUAACGGCUCACCAAGCCUUCGAUGGAUAGGGGUUCUGAGAGGAAGGUCCCCCACAUUGGAACUGAGACACGGUCCAAACUCCUACGGGAGGCAGCAGUGAGGAAUAUUGGUCAAUGGGCGGUAGCCUGAACCAGCCAAGUAGCGUGAAGGAUGAAGGCUCUAUGGGUCGUAAACUUCUUUUAUAUAAGAAUAAAGUGCAGUAUGUAUACUGUUUUGUAUGUAUUAUAUGAAUAAGGAUCGGCUAACUCCGUGCCAGCAGCCGCGGUAAUACGGAGGAUCCGAGCGUUAUCCGGAUUUAUUGGGUUUAAAGGGAGCGUAGGUGGACUGGUAAGUCAGUUGUGAAAGUUUGCGGCUCAACCGUAAAAUUGCAGUUGAUACUGUCAGUCUUGAGUACAGUAGAGGUGGGCGGAAUUCGUGGUGUAGCGGUGAAAUGCUUAGAUAUCACGAAGAACUCCGAUUGCGAAGGCAGCUCACUGGACUGCAACUGACACUGAUGCUCGAAAGUGUGGGUAUCAAACAGGAUUAGAUACCCUGGUAGUCCACACAGUAAACGAUGAAUACUCGCUGUUUGCGAUAUACAGUAAGCGGCCAAGCGAAAGCAUUAAGUAUUCCACCUGGGGAGUACGCCGGCAACGGUGAAACUCAAAGGAAUUGACGGGGGCCCGCACAAGCGGAGGAACAUGUGGUUUAAUUCGAUGAUACGCGAGGAACCUUACCCGGGCUUAAAUUGCAGUGGAAUGAUGUGGAAACAUGUCAGUGAGCAAUCACCGCUGUGAAGGUGCUGCAUGGUUGUCGUCAGCUCGUGCCGUGAGGUGUCGGCUUAAGUGCCAUAACGAGCGCAACCCUUAUCUUCAGUUACUAACAGGUCAUGCUGAGGACUCUGGAGAGACUGCCGUCGUAAGAUGUGAGGAAGGUGGGGAUGACGUCAAAUCAGCACGGCCCUUACGUCCGGGGCUACACACGUGUUACAAUGGGGGGUACAGAAGGCAGCUAGCGGGUGACCGUAUGCUAAUCCCAAAAUCCUCUCUCAGUUCGGAUCGAAGUCUGCAACCCGACUUCGUGAAGCUGGAUUCGCUAGUAAUCGCGCAUCAGCCACGGCGCGGUGAAUACGUUCCCGGGCCUUGUACACACCGCCCGUCAAGCCAUGGGAGCCGGGGGUACCUGAAGUACGUAACCGCAAGGAUCGUCCUAGGGUAAAACUGGUGACUGGGGCUAAGUCGUAACAAGGUAGCCGUACCGGAAGGUGCGGCUGGAACACCUCCUUU
rnacentral:rRNA from 1 species